rnacentral:rRNA from 1 species
CGAGCGUUGUCCGGAAUCACUGGGCGUAAAGGGCGCGUAGGCGGCCUGAUAAGUAGGGGGUGAAAUCUUGCGGCUUAACCGCAAGGCUGCCUUCUAAACUGUCAGGCUAGAGCACAGUAGAGGCAGGUGGAAUUCCCGGUGUAGCGGUGGAAUGCGUAGAGAUCGGGAAGAACAUCAGUGGCGAAGGCGGCCUGCUGGGCUGUUGCUGACGCUGAGGCGCGACAGCGUGGGGAGCAAACAGG